AUCGGUGGACGGGUGAGUAACACGUGGGCAACCUACCUGUAAGACUGGGAUAUCUUCGGGAAACCGGAGCUAUUACCGGAUGACAUAGGAAAUCCUGUGUUUAUUUAUUUGAAGAUGGCUUCGGCUAUCACUUACAGAUGGGCCCGCGGCGCAUUAGCUAGUUGGUGAGGUAACGGCUCACCAAGGCGACGAUGCGUAGCCGACCUGAGAGGGUGAUCGGCCACACUGGGACUGAGACACGGCCCAGACCUCCUACGGGAGGCAGCAGUAGGGAAUCUUCCGCAAUGGACGAAAGUCUGACGGAGCAACGCCGCGUGAGCGAUGAAGGCCUUCGGGUCGUAAAGCUCUGUUGUUAGGGAAGAAUAAGUGCUAGUUGAAUAAGCUGGCACCUUGACGGUACCUAACCAGAAACCACGRG
rnacentral:rRNA from 1 species